rnacentral:tRNA from 1 species
GCAGUGGUGGGUCUGUGGUAGAAUUCUCCCCUUCCAUGGGGGAGACCUGGGUUCCAUUCCGGGCCAGUGCA